CAUUUUCGUAUCGUAACUCGCGGACUUUGGAAUUUUAUAACUUUAACAUUAACAUUUAGAUUUAACAUGUCUAACUUGUUGACGUCGAAUGUCAAUUUGGCAUUUACCAUUAUCGUUAUAUCGUUUUAUUCAGCAGUGCUAAAGAUUAAAGGUAGUUAAAUGAUAACCAGUUCUUCAAAUAGUUAGGUAAUUAUUUAUUUAAAGAGCAACUUUUCUACUUAAGAUAUGAAGGUGAUAUUUGAGGUGGAUAUGGGCAAUAAAUUAACAUUCAAUAAUAUUCAAUUGACAAAAAUUACAUCCUUAUUCGUAAUUUUAAUUAUUUCACAUGUAAAUUCAAUGGAUUAUAAAUUUCCAAAUGACUUUAUGUUUGGUACUGCAACUGCUGCUUAUCAAAUAGAAGGAGGCUGGAAUGAAGAUGGAAAAGGAGAAAAUAUUUGGGAUCAUUUGGUUCAUACUCAUCCGGAAUUAAUAAAUGAUGGAUCUAAUGGAAAUAUUGCCUGCGAUUCGUAUCACAAGUAUAAAGAAGAUGUAGAGUUGGCAAAAAAUUUAAAUGUAAAAUUUUAUCGUUUUUCCAUUUCAUGGGCUCGAAUAGCACCAUCCGGAGUAAUGAAUGUAUUAAAUGAAAAAGGAAUAGCAUAUUAUAAUAGUCUUAUCAAUGAACUUAUCAAUAAAAAUAUUACCCCAAUUAUAACAAUGUAUCAUUGGGAUCUACCACAAUAUUUACAAGAUCUUGGCGGUUGGGUUAAUCCAAUUAUGUCAGAUUAUUUUAAAGAAUAUGCACGAGUGUUAUUUAUUCACUACGGAGACAGAGUAAAAUGGUGGAUUACAAUAAAUGAACCAUUACAGAUAUCUAGAGGUUAUGCUUUUAGUACCUACGCACCAUACUUAAGUUUAAAUAAUACUGGGUAUUAUUUAUCAGCUCAUAUAUUACUUAUUGCACAUGGGAAAGCGUACAGGUUAUAUAAAGAGAUGUUCAAGUCUACACAACAAGGAAAAAUAAGUAUUUCAAUUAGCGGAUUAUUUUUCUUACCAAAAAAUGCUGAGUCACUUGAUGAUAUAAAUACUGCUGAGAGAGCAAACCAAUUUGAGAGGGGAUGGUUCAGUCAUCCGGUGUACAAAGGAGAUUAUCCACCAAUAAUGAGACAAUGGAUAGAUAAAAAAAGUAAAGAAGAAGGAACACUUUGGUCAAUAUUACCAACAUUUACAGAAGAUGAAAUUAAAUUAAUUAAAGGUGCGGCUGAUUUUUAUGCUUUCAAUCAUUAUUCUACUCGUUUGGUAACUCAGCAAAGUGGUGAUCCAAAUUCUUAUUAUAAUUCAAAUGCAGGUUAUUAUGUAUCUGUCGAUAAAUCAUGGUCAAAAUCAUGUGUUGCAUCGUGGCUCAUACCAGUACCUGAUGGAUUAAGACAACUUUUGAUAUGGAUAAAAAAUGAAUAUAGUAAUCCACCAAUGUUUAUAACAGAAAAUGGAUAUGGAGAUAGUGGUCAAUUGGAUGAUCUAGAUAGAAUAAGCUACUUACAGGGCUAUUUAAAUGCAACAUUACACGCAAUACAUGAAGAUAAUUGUAAUGUUAUAGGAUUUACUGUUUGGUCACUGUUAGAUAAUUUUGAAUGGAUGGAUGGUAUUAGAAUUCGUUUUGGACUUGUUAAGGUAGAUUUUAAUGAUCCUAAUAGAACUCGUACUCCAAAAGGGUCAUAUGCAUUUUUCAAGAAUGUGAUUUUGAGCGGAUUGAUGAAUGUAUUGAUUUGUAUUUUGUACAAUGAUGUGUAAUGAUAACAACAUAUAACUAUAAUAGUGGCAUCAUCAUAAUCCCUUUUAUAUACAUAGUCGCACAUAUUUUCACACAAUACUAGACAUCUGUGGUCAGACAUUGUUAUAUCCUUUGACCAUUAUCUAAAUUUAUUACCCAACCGGCUCAGAAGACACCCAUCGACCAUCGGACAAUUGGACACAAUGUCACUCUCUCUACGUGCGCAUUUGGUGAUGGUUAUACGUAGAGAACCAAUUUAUUGAAUUAACAUCAGACCUAUCCAUUAUUCCUACACUGGCCGCACUCAAUCGCAGACAAAUCUACAGUCAAACUAAGGUAACAUAAUUCAUUGUAUAUAAUAUAAAUCCUUAUAUGUAUACAUGUAUCUGCAUGCAUGUGCAGAUAUACAUUAUACAUAUAAGAGGGUAGUAAUUCGUAUUGUGUGCUCAAUAUAUAUAAAUGGUAAAUCUCACAUAAAUGAAAAGAAGAUUAAUAAUAAUUAUAAUUUAAAAAUUAGUAAUAUAAAAUAUAUAUUGCGCAGCCAAAUUCUUUUUGAUUUACUACAGAUGUAUUAAAACUAUUUAGAAAUAUUAAAAAUAUAUUAUUAUAAUUUUUUUA